AACGCGAAGAACCUUACCUGGGCUCGAAAUGUUAUGGACCGGGGUAGAAAUAUCCCUUCCCAGCAAUGGGCCGUAAUAUAGGUGCUGCAUGGCUGUCGUCAGCUCGUGUCGUGAGAUGUUGGGUUAAGUCCCGCAACGAGCGCAACCCUUACCUCCAGUUGCCACCAUUAAGUUGGGCACUCUGGCGGAACCGCCUCGGAUAACGGGGAGGAAGGUGGGGAUGACGUCAAGUCCUCAUGGCCUUUAUGUCCAGGGCUACACACGUGCUACAAUGGCCGGUACAAACCGUCGCAAACCCGUGAGGGGGAGCUAAUCGGAAAAAGCCGGCCUCAGUUCGGAUUGGAGUCUGCAACUCGACUCCAUGAAGCUGGAAUCGCUAGUAAUCGCAGAUCAGAACGCUGCGGUGAAUACGUUCCCGGGCCUUGUACACACCGCGAGC
rnacentral:rRNA from 1 species